GAUGAACGCUAGCGGCAGGCUUAAUACAUGCAAGUCGAGGGGCAGCACGGUUAGCAAUAACUGGUGGCGACCGGCGCACGGGUGCGUAACACGUAUACAAUCUACCUUAAACAGGGGGAUAGCCUUUCGAAAGAGAGAUUAAUACCCCGUAAUAAAUUGAACGGCAUCGUUUGAUUUUGAAAGCUCCGGCGGUUUGAGAUGAGUAUGCGUCUGAUUAGCUAGUUGGUGAGGUAACGGCUCACCAAGGCGACGAUCAGUAGGGGAUCUGAGAGGACUAACCCCCCACAUUGGACUGAGACACGGACCAGACUCCUACGGGAGGCAGCAGUAAGGAUAUUGGUCAAUGGAGGCAACUCUGAACCAGCCAUGCCGCGUGCAGGAUGACGGCCCUA
rnacentral:rRNA from 1 species